CCAAACAUCUUAUUUAAUUAAAAAGUAAUUGAAAUUCUUUAAAAAAUUGAAUUACCCUAUUAAAUUUCACCAUCUAAACAUUCUCUUAGUUUUUAUUAUUAAUUGGAAAUUUUUUUGCUUAAUUGCAAGUGUUUGCUUUGAAUAUACAUUCCAAGGAGACAAGAAAGAAAAAAUUGAGAGAGUAAUGAGAGUUAAAGUAAAAAAUUGUAUAUUUUAUUUUGUAAUAUGAGUAGAUUAUUAUUAUUAUUAUUUAAUUCCUUUAGUGCCUGAUUAUUCUCGUUGAUUAUUUUUUUCUUUUUAGGAUACCAAUCUCAUAUUGAACCUUGCUGUUGCAUUGGAGAAUGCCAAAAUUAGUUCUUUCCGUUUUGACUUCUCAGGAAAUGGGGAAAGUGAAGGUCUGUUUUAGUUUGGUAACUAUUGGACAGAGGUUGAUGAUUUACAUGCUGUAGCUCAACAUUUCCCAGAAUCUAACCGUGCUAUCAGUGCAAAUGUUGGUCAUAGUACAUGUUGGUUGAGAAAAUUCCUAUUCUAUAGAUCCCUGUUGGGAAGUGACGUAGUGCUUCUGUUUGCUUCAAAAUAUAGUGACAUUAAAACAAUGGUCAACCUCUCUGAGCAUUAUGAUAUGAAGGCAGGCAUUGGAGAACCCUUUGGAAAAGAUUAUUUGGAAAGAAUCAGGAAGGACGGUUUCAUUGAUGUGAAGAAGAGGAGGAAGUUUUGAUUUCCAUGUAACUGAAGAAAGUUUGAUGGAUCGCUUGGGAAUAAAUAUGCAUGAAGCAUGCCUUCAGAUUGACAAAGAAUGCAGGUAGGUGGUGCUUCUAGCAGCAAUUCUUGAUGAAGCUAUGAAAUUACCCUGAUGCAUAGGUGUGCUAAAUGUCAGACCACAUCGUAUAUGACAGGGUCUUUACUAUUCAUGGUUCUUCCGAUGAAAUUAUUCCUGUUGAAGAUGCAUUUGAGUUUGCCAAGAUCAUAUCAAACCACAAGUUACAUGUCAUUGAAGGAGCUAAUCAUAUCUUCAGUAAUCAUCAAGGCGACUUGUCCUCAGUUGUUGUGAACUGCAUAGAAGAAACCUUGCACCAGGUCAAGGGUACUGCUAGCUAGGUGUUCUUGCUAGCAUAGGCAUCAAACAGUGUGAACUCUUCUUUUUUGUUUUUCUAACAAAUGUUUACCCUGCAGGGUCCCUAACUGAACCCACGUUGUGUUUAUAAUUACAGCAAUGAGAUUUGAAUUUAAGACUUCGUGUAACUACUCAAACUCUCUUGUUACUAGGCAAACCCUAACAGGUUUGAUGUUCCAUGCA